UGGCAGCAAGAGUGAUGAUUGAAUUAGAUGUUUGAAGGGCAACUUCUUCAUGAACUCAAUGUUAUGAGGCUUAUUGAUAUUCUGACCUGCUACGC